CAUAGUUUUAUGAGCAAUGCUACACAGACGACAUCUUGGCAGCCGAUUCAUGCACAACAAAUGUUAGCAGCCGUCCAUCACUUUGGCUCCAUGGGUUAGUGCCAUCGAUCACAGCUUCGUGCAGGCAUCGUCCGCCAAGGUGUCGUGUGCAUAGUGAUUUCGUAGUUUUAUCCUCAUCUCGCCAGUCCUCACCACAUGGAAGAUCGGCAGUCUGCCCUGCUCAGCCCCAGUGCCCUCAGCCUAUGGAUUCACCGGUAGCCCGACUUUUCGGUGCAGAAGCGGGACUACAAACAGCCGGGCGGCCAGGCUGCCGUGCUACUGGUUCCAGGCUUCCAGCCAGGUGGUUUGUGUUGUCUACCGACCAAGACAUCACUGGAAUCUCCAAGGCAGCGGUAUGUGUUCUCCUACGCAGCCCGUCUCCCUCUUCACCUUCUCUAAUCUCCAACAAAUCCCAUUACGUUCUUCCAAUAAAUACAGAUGGAUUUAUGCCAAAAAGAAGAAACAGAUGGAUCUACUCCUCCCUGCUCAUAUAUGGGUAACCGACACAAUUAAUCCCCAUCGCCUGCAAGUGACAUGCGUGUUGUCAGGGACAGAUCUACAGCCCUAGACAAUGUAUUUGUAGCCUGUUCGUCGUGGAGUCUGUUUGAUUCUGCCCCCGCCAUCCAGUUUUUGCUGGCUCGGUUUUUAAAUCCAUAGAUUUAAAAAUUGGUAUACAUGGAACUGCAUCAGCUAUUUCCCUCGGAACAUUCAUGUAUUGGCCGCAUAAAUUACCGGUAUUCCAUUAGAGAUAAUAAAGCAUGAUACGAUCUGGCUGUUGUACUGACAUUUUGCUCUUAAAUUGUACUCCCUCCGUCCCAUAAUAUAAGAGCGUUUUCGACACAGUGUCAAAAACGCUCUUAUAUUAUGGGACGGAGGGAGUAGGUUAUUUCAGAGAAAGGAUGGAUGGUCGUAUAUCCACCCAGCUGGAUGGAUGGUAGGUUACUAGGUUGCAUAUUUAACAACAGUUUUGUGGUCACAAUUACUUUUAUUUGGUAUGUUUCUUAUGCGAGAAGUGAACUCGCAAGUAGUUUUAUUUGGUGUGCUUCUUAUAUGUAAAAUCACAAUUUCAGUGAGACUGAAACUCAAAUUCAGUGAGCAUGCACAAUAUAUUCAAGUGGAGAAAAAGGUUUCUCCUCUGCUAUUUUCUUGGAUGAUUUGUUAAUCGAGAUGCCCCUGAUUGCUUCAAUUCAUUAUGUCUUUGAGAUAACAAACUGGUUUGGCAUGGCUGUCCUUAGUAGGGUAAUUACUCUGGAUGUUUCAGGCCUUUAUUUUUCUCUGAAAUUUACCUUGAUUUUAACACUCAAACAUGGCUCUGCUGCUGAACUGAACUUCAUAUGACACUUUUAUCCAAAGCGCAUCCUCUUCUUUUUUCACUGCAUGAAGCAAUGGGGAGAAGCUAAAUGCAUAUGUGUAUGAUGGUAACUAUGUCUCUUAAUGUACGAGAAAGCUCUAUGAUAUAAAAAAAGCUACAUGCAUGCAUAUGUCGAUCCAAUUGCAGGUUCAGGGUACUGUUCUUAUCUGUCAUGGUUCGAUGGGAAAAUAAACAGUAGUACUAGGGGCUGCUUAUAUCCCUCGCUACAGCCGGCACGCAGGCCAUUACACACACUCAUGACACGCAGGCUGGACAACCACGCACACACUAGGUAGGCUGAGGCCCAUUCAUGGCACACAGGCUCAAUUCCAACAUCGACCAGUACGAGCUCUGCAUCAGGUGCCCUGACAGGCAUGGGUGACAGAUAAUAUCAAGAGAUAACUCUCCAAGCCAGUCAGUACAGUAAGAAAUACACUUGCUUUCAUGAAUCAUGACUAACCUUGCUCAAUUAACUGUAGAAAAACGUUGUAUCUUGCAACUAUUUUCAUUUGCGUAGGCAUCCGUUUCACGUAGUUUAACACUAACUUUGAUCUUUUAUGCUUGCACCAUGUGCGAAAUUCUUGAGCACAUCUGCAGAUGUCACCUGGCCCUUCACAUGCCUAAGUGUAAAGCCGACACUCUGCUCUCCAGAACAAACACAGGAUAGCAGUUCGGCACCCACCGACAAUAUUCGCGAUGGCGCCUCAGGAGACUGACAACGUCCAUGUCACCUGCUUCCCGUCGCGAUGGGCAUGUCCAGCAGGCAGGACAAGGCGCAAAGCGAGUGGCGAGAGGGAUAUGGUGCCAGCCCGGACGGCUACUAGGUUGGCGUGGUGAGUGCCUUGAUCGAUUCAGAUACAACCAGAUAACCACUGGGCAAUUUGGUCCUUUCAUGAGCCUAUAAAUUUGAAAAGAAAAGAAAUGAACAAAAUGAGGUGCUAAUGGCACGGUAAUCAAGAUAUCAACGAGCUAUGUGGAGGUUCUACGAAGGAAAUCUGUAAUGUCAACAUUCCGCAGAGCCACACACAGGAAGUGGCAAAAAUAUAAAUACUAAAACUUAACA